GAUGAACGCUGGCGGCGUGCCUAAUACAUGCAAGUCGAGCGAACGGACGAGAAGCUUGCUUCUCUGAUGUUAGCGGCGGACGGGUGAGUAACACGUGGAUAACCUACCUAUAAGACUGGGAUAACUUCGGGAAACCGGAGCGAAUACCGGAUGAUAUUUUGAACCGCAUGGUUCAAAAGUGAAAGACGGUCUUGCUGUCACUUAUAGAUGGAUCCGCGCUGCAUUAGCUAGUUGGUAAGGUAACGGCUUACCAAGGCAACGAUGCAUAGCCGACCUGAGAGGGUGAUCGGCCACACUGGAACUGAGACACGGUCCAGACUCCUACGGGAGGCAGCAGUAGGGAAUCUUCCGCAAUGGGCGAAAGCCUGACGGAGCAACGCCGCGUGAGUGAUGAAGGUCUUCGGAUCGUAAAACUCUGUUAUUAGGGAAGAACAUAUGUGUAAGUAACUGUGCACAUCUUGACGGUACCUAAUCAGAAAGCCACGGCUAACUACGUG
rnacentral:rRNA from 1 species